ACAAAGUCUCGCUCUGUCACCCAGGCUGGAGUGCAAUGGCAUGAUCUCGGCUCACUGCAACCUCUGCCUCCUGGUUCAAGCAAUUCUCCUGCAUCAGCCUCCUGAGUAGCUGGGAUUACAGAAACUCAAGACCUGCUCGUGUAAACAAAACCUUAAUAACAUUUUGAUUUCUAAAGGUUUAUGUUCAUUGUUUCUAAAGUUUUAAUAAUGAGGAAGGUGAAAAAAAUUUAUUAUUAUAAAUAUCAAUUGCAAGAAAUCAUAUUAAAACAAUGUCCUUAAAGUUUAAGAUUUUUCCCACUUCAAAUUCCUGGAAAUGUAAAAACACAAUCUUUCAGUUUUUCUUGUUGAAAUAAUAAAGUGUUCUGAAUAAA